CUGAAAUGUAAUGAUUUCUUUGUGUAACGCUCCUAUAGUAACAGUAAUGGGUAAUUAGAGGUUGAGAGAGAGGUCUCCCAUCACUGGCCUCGACGACCAGGGGUGAUGAUCUCUCCUUGAUGAGUGGGCACUCCAAAGUAUUGACCCUUUUACAAAUACGUAGCGGGCAGUUUAUAUAUUUUUAGUUAUUGUAAGUUAAAGAUGCUGAGGAAGAUCAGGCGAAGGAGGCUUCUAAAAUUCUG